UAUUUUGCUUUUUAAAGGUAUUUUAUUUUGCUUUUUAAAGGUAUUUUGUUUGGAUUCAUCCACAAAAUUGCAAGCUUGAUUGUUAGUCUAUUAACUAUAGAUUCUUUAAACUGUUGUUUUUUUUUAAACAAAAACCUAUAAAUAAUCAGCAAAAGUUCACAAAAAUUGAAAUGUGUAAGAAUUUAUUUGAUUAGUUUCAGUAUCAUAUUGAUUAUGGUUUAGUUUUAUAUACCUGGAUAUGCUGUAUGUAAGCAUAAUUGUAUGCCAUUUUACUAUUAACUUUAGAGAACUCAUAUGAACUCUGUUCUUUUAUAUUUUCAGUGUGUACAUGAAAUGGUGGUUCCAUCUAUAAACCGAGAUAGUAAGUGAUACUUUGAUACGUAUCAAAGUACGUAUAAAACGUACUAGUAUAUACUAGUACGUUUUUCAAUCAGGAACAAAGUAGCACAAAUACUUUGCAUUAUAAUUAUUUUAUUUAUUGAAAGCAAAGUUUUAUUCAUCAAAUAAUUUUGUACAAUUAGAAUUGAGUUUAUUUUUAAUUUCAGUUUCCAAAAUAUCAUCAGAAACAGCCUUGGAUACAUACAAUAAUAUUUUGGAUUACCUAAAUAUUAAUGGGAGCAUUGUGUCUCUCAAACAUCCUGAUUUUCUUUUGAGCAAUAGACACUUUUUUCAAAUUUUCAAAGAAAAAAAUAAACAUAAGUUAACAUGGCCAAAUUUGUUUACAUUUUUUUCAACCUACUCUAAAAAUUUUUUUUUAACCAUUUAAACAUCGGAGAGAAGCAAUUUUGUUGUUGACUAAAAUUAACAACUGUGCAAUCUGUCAUCGAAGAUUUGAAGGAAACAAUAAGCUUUCUAAGAUCAUCCUUGUAGUUGUGAUUUUUAGAAGAAAAUAACUGAGCCAUAUCAGUAAAUAAAUUUUUAUUACCCAAAUAAGAUUGUUCCUUGCCCGAAAACAUAUCUACUAUCCCUAAUGUGUACCAGAUGAUGUUGUAACUUGAAAACUACCAACCUCCUUAAAAUUGUACUUUGUGCCAUCUGCAUAAAGAACAUUGUGCGAUUAAACAUAGCCUCUCUAACUUGAGCUUUUAAUAGAAUGUUUAUUUCACUAAAAAAUUCAACAGCUAAAGAAUUUUUAGGAAACGUGCCUCUUAAAAUUCCAGCAAUAUUUUGUAGUACAGUUCUGAUAACAGAUUUAACAUUAUUGACAGAAACAUUUCUACUUAAGAGAUCGUCAUAGAGCAAAUUUCCUCAUUAUAUCUACCCUCUUCAAAAAUGUGAUUUUUGUGUUGAUAGACAACUUGGCUUACCUUCUUGCUGGUGUCUAUCGUUAAAAAUUAUUAUUAUAAUGUUUGGUUACUGAAACUUUCUACCUCUAAAAGCCAAGAGAUAAGUUUUAGAAUAACAACAUUUUUUUUUUUAAUGUUGUUUUCAUUUUUUUUAUCUUAAUAUUGUCAAUAGUUCACAUAAACAUUCUCAAAGAGUUGAGUUUCUGCUGUUACACCUGUUAUUGCUGUUGUAAGUACUCAAAAUUUCAGGAAGUUCUAUUGCUGUGUCUUAUAGAUGUCUAAAGUUAUACAUUUGGCUAAUUUAGGUCAGCUAGUGCUUGUUCUUUAUUUUGUUACUGGCAUGAUGAUUUAUUUUGCUCACUUUUUUUUCUUACUGUCAUCAGUUAUUCAUUUUAUCAACAAGGGUUAUGAUAUAAGAUAUAGUUAACAAUAGCUACCAUUACAACUACACCAAAAGUAGCAGUUAAAAAUAUGGCUAUGCAAUUUUUAAUUGUAAUGAGAUAUUUGAUCAAUUUUUUAAUAGAAUAAUGUGAAAGUAUAGACUAUUCUGGCAUGUUGAUACCAUGGCUAUUUUAAUAUUUUUAACAUUUAUAUGAUUUAAAAAUUCAAAUCCUUCUGGCACACAUUUAGAGUUCAUUUUGUAAAUCAAUUUAUUGACAUAUGUUGAUCAAUGCGUUUAUCAAGGACUCUUCUGGCACAAAAGCAUGCCAACUCUCACGUGUUGGCAGAAAGUUACCAAAAUAUGUUGAGGACUUAAUUCAGAGAUAAUGUUGCUAAACGAUUUACAGUCGAUAAUCUUUUGAAAGCAGAAAAACUUAGGUUAGCAUCAAAUAGAAAGUUAGCGCAAUUUCUGGUAUUUGUGUGUCAAACAAAGAAUACGCGAAUUAUUUGAGAUAUGAUUGAAAUUUGCAAA